rnacentral:rRNA from 1 species
GACGAACGCUGGCGGCGUGCCUAAUACAUGCAAGUAGAACGCUGAAGGAAGGAGCUUGCUCUUUCUGGAUGAGUUGCGAACGGGUGAGUAACGCGUAGGUAACCUGCCUGGUAGCGGGGGAUAACUAUUGGAAACGAUAGCUAAUACCGCAUAAAAUUGAUUAUUGCAUGAUAGUCAAUUAAAAGGUGCAACUGCACCACUACCAGAUGGACCUGCGUUGUAUUAGCUAGUUGGUGGGGUAACGGCUCACCAAGGCGACGAUACAUAGCCGACCUGAGAGGGUGAUCGGCCACACUGGGACUGAGACACGGCCCAGACUCCUACGGGAGGCAGCAGUAGGGAAUCUUCGGCAAUGGACGGAGGUCUGACCGAGCAACGCCGCGUGAGUGAAGAAGGUUUUCGGAUCGUAAAGCUCUGUUGUAAGAGAAGAACGAGUGUGAGAGUGGAAAGUUCACACUGUGACGGUAUCUUACCAGAAAGGGACGGCUAACUACGUG